rnacentral:rRNA from 1 species
GACGAACGCUGGCGGCGUGCUUAACACAUGCAAGUCGAACGGUAAGGCCCUUCGGGGUACACGAGUGGCGAACGGGUGAGUAACACGUGGGUGAUCUGCCCUGCACUUCGGGAUAAGCCUGGGAAACUGGGUCUAAUACCGGAUAGGACCACUGCCUGCAUGGGUGGUGGUGGAAAGCUUUUGCGGGGUGGGAUGGGCCCGCGGCCUAUCAGCCUGUUGGUGGGGUGAUGGCCUACCAAGGCGACGACGGGUAGCCGGCCUGAGAGGGUGACUGGCGACGGUGGUACUGCGAUACGGCCCAGACUACUGCGGGAGGCAUCAGGGGGGAAUAUUGCACAAUGGUCGCAAGCCUGAUGCAGCGACGCCGCGUGAGGGAUGACGGCCUUCGGGUUGUAAACCUCUUUCAGCACCGAGGAAGCGCAAGUGACGGUAGGUGCAGAAGAAGGACCGGCCAACUACGUGCCAGCCGCCGCCGUAA